CGCGGGCUGUGUCUAAACCCCUGUUAAAAAGAAACAGGAACAUAGAUCAAAAUAUGAAGUCUGAAUCUGUUUUCAUCUUCAAAUAAUGAGGGAUUUAGAAAAGAAAUCUGAAAAGUUGGAAACCAGUCAGAAGAGACAUCAACAGGAAAAAUAAACUAGGUUCAGGUUCAUUGCAGUGAGAAAUGGCAGUGCUUGUGGAUUGAAUAGAAUCAAUAUUCAGCCUUGCCCUCAUUGGAUUUAACAGAGGCCAAAGACAUGAUAAACAUUCUUUUACUAGCAUCUACUAUACAUAUUGAUCUGAACCUCAAGUGUGUACCCAAUCAUGUGUGCCAAUGUGAACUCUUCCAUUUUGUCCACAC